UUUAUGGAGAGUUUGAUCCUGGCUCAGGACGAACGCUGGCGGCGUGCUUAACACAUGCAAGUCGAACGGAAAGGCCUAGCUUGCUAGGUACUCGAGUGGCGAACGGGUGAGUAA
rnacentral:rRNA from 2 species